GAAGGUUAAAAAAGGAAAUAAACCCUAGUGCCCAAAAAAUACCAUUCGCUUAGCCCCGUGGCAAAAGGGUCUCAAUGGAGUUAGACCUAUUGUUAAAUGUAUGAUCAUCGCAUCCUUACAAAUCUACAGCAACCUAGUCAACAAAAAGAGCCUCCAAAGGAUUUUCUUGUGUUUGCCAAGAGCCCUCAAUUCCAGGCUAAGAGAAAAAUCUCCAAUGUCUCUUGGCAUGACCCAACUUGUAUGAUGAUGAUUUGUUGUCAAAAUUGGGAUGGACAAUUCCAUGAAACCUUUUUCCUUUUUUUCCCCCCUCUUCUCAAACCCUCGAUCAAUUCUUCUGUUUCUCCCUCACUCCCAAAGUCCCGUUUAGCUGAGCUCUAGUAGGGUGGGCCAUUUCAGCCAUGGGUUCCCUACACCAUUAAAGGAGUGAAGAAGGAAGAAGUGCUUUUGUUUUUGAAUGUUUGAGAGUGCACCAUAUUACAGUGUGAUUCACCCUCCUUUUUCUUGACCUUUCUACGUUUUGAGGGAGCAACUAAUCUUUUCAUUUCCCUAAUAAAGCCUGUUGCAAUGUGGCUGCAACUCAAGUGGGCCAUGGAUAACCUUUUGGAAGUCCCCCGUUUUGGUCAUCCUCAUGUGAGACCCGCUUAUGGUCCAUUUUGGUACAAACGGGUUCAUUUGAGAAGUGGGAUCACUUUAUUCUAGUUCAGUCCAUCCAAUUUGUUAGUGAACAUGUAAUAAAUCCCGUGAUGCAGGACGGUCUAAAUUAGAAUGCAUGUGUGAGCACAGAAAUUAUCCAGCGAAAUAAACUAAGCAAAUCAAUUGAAAUAUUCAACAUUCCACAUCAUAGUAAAGAUAAUAACAAAGGAAACAUGCAAUGGUUGCAGACCAUCAUCACAAUCCUGCAGUAUUGUAUUCAAAUCAUGCGUGAAUUGGAUCCGACGAGAGAUGGGACCUCCCGAUCUUGCAUGGUUUCUAUCCAACAAUCAAUGCACCUUCUCUAGUCUAGGAAAUCAAAGGAAUUCUGGAAUAGGGAAGGCUGAAAAAUCUGAGAGAGGGUUAGGAUCAAUUCUCAGAUUUUCAGGGUUAAUAGCAAUCAAAGAAUACUAGGCAGAGAAAGAGAAGAAGAAGGUUGGAGGGCUAGAAAUAGAAUUUAGAAGAAGAGAAGAGAUUAGGGGAAGAGAAGCAAUUACCACAGAGAGAAAUGGGUAGGAGGCAUCAAGUUUUCAUUUUUUUUUUUUUUAAAAAAAAUUAUUAGGUUUAGGGUAGAAAACACUCUAUUUAUAAAAUUCAGAUUUAAGAGAAAAUGACUAAACUACCCCUAUAACAAAAGAAAAAAACGCACAAAACAAAGCUUUCUAAAAAAAUAAUCUUGCAUAACAGAUUAGUCUUCUAACUCAUCCUACACGUGUGUCCUCCUAAUGUGGGGCCUUCAAUUAGACAAGGGGCACGUGUAAGGUCUUCAAAAUCCUCCUCGGUUGUGCCACGAGCCAUUAUUGAGCGAUAAAGAUAUUCGUCGGCCACCUUCGUCUUUGAUAAACUUUGAAGGGUCUGAUGUCCUCAUCACCUUGGACCCACCAUGAGUAAUCUAACCCUUUUGGGUAUUAUCCAUUUAUCUAGUGUGGUACCUAUGUACCAUGUGGGGCCUCCAGCCUUAUGUAUCUGUGAAUGAAUACAUUAUGAUAUUAUGUGUAUAUGAUAAUGGGGCAUGUUGGAGUUUGAGGUGGACAUCAUCCAUCACAGGGUAGCCUGAUGACCUCCAUCAUUGACUGUACUGCUAUGGCAGAGCCAGCUAUGGCAACUGUGGAUUUCUGCCACCAUUAAAAGAGUUAAGAGGAAGGAAGAAUAAAAGGGCCUGUAUGGAUCUCUGACAUGCGCAUAUGUGUGGUAGAUUUGGAUGAAUCGCCCUUACAUCACAAUUUCCUUUGAAUUUGAGGGCUGUUUCCUAAAAGCCAUAAAGAAAUUCCUUCGAAUUUGUAGUAGAUUUGGAUUUUAUUUUUUAUUUUAUUUUGUUAACAUCCAAUCUAGAAGAUUCUUUUUACUGGAAUUCAACUUCUACAAAAACUUAUACAUGGAGGAAUUUAUUUUCUAUGCACCCUUGGGGAAAUUGAUGCCAUGAAUUGAACUGGCGGUGAACCAAGCUUUGAUAAGAUAGAUUCUUUAGGUUCCCCAAUAUUCAUGAAUUGCAAACCAAACCCCACAAACACAUCAUCAAACAACAAACCUGCCAACUAUGUUUGUUAGUAGGGGACAGUAUUUAGCUAGCUUUACAGUAGAGCCCUUCAGUUAGACCUUUA